rnacentral:lncRNA from 1 species
AAAAUUGGAAAUAGAAAACAAUGAUUUUGAAACGAUGAGAUAAAAAUGGAAGGAUUAAAAACGUAAAUAACCCAUCAAUGCUUUAAAACCCUUUUCAAUCGUUAAUUAAAACCCAAUUCCAUUUGCAGCAUAGUAGCCGCAAGAAUUGUUUCAUCCUCUCGCCUACUCUUCACGCCAAAAUUCCCCUUUCAACUUCGAUUUGGAUGAAGCGAAACAAAGAUGUCGACGGCGCGCCAUCGUUGGUAAGAAUCUUCCUCCUUCUCUUUUCUUUUAUUUAUUAUUUUUUUUAAAAACCAGUAGAAAAAUGAAACAAAAAGCAGUAAAAAAACCGAAUAAAUAGAUCACCUUCGACAAUUGUUUUCUUUUUCUUUCGUAUUUUCGUAUUCUCUCAAUACAAUCGGUCCCCAUUUUACAAAAUAAAACGGCUUUAUAUAGCCCGAAAAAGAAAAAUAAAUCGAAUAUAAUUGCUAUUUUUUUUGAUGUUUCUUCUUUUUCGGACUCUUUGAGUUCGUGCUUGCAGGUGUUUGUGGAGCGCACGUGGAAGAGUCGGCCCCGAGACGUGCGGCGGCUGGAGGCUUUGCUGGAAGCGGGGAGGCUAAUGCUAGGGUUUCCUAACCCUUCCUUUUCCAUUAAUUUUGGGCCUGGGUUAGGAAUUAGCUAUUGGGCCCGUUAUUGGAUUUGUAACAAAAUUGGACUGAAACAUUAGCCUUUGUUUCUGUUUGGUUUUUAUUUAUUUAACGGGCCUGGCAGAAAUUGGGCCCUACAGCUGCCUCUCUUUGCUCGUUGUCGUGUAACGGGAACAGAGCAAAGACUACAAGGCCCAAUUAUGCCUGGUCUUACUGAGCCUCAACUUCUUCAAUGCUUCUCCUCUUCAGGUAGCCUCGUUCCUUCCUACUGCAUCUUCAGAGGUACAGGAAUUGGUGCUUCUAUCUACUCCACUAUAAUGUUGGGGAGGUAAGACCUGUAUCUUCGAUCUACUUCACACUAGUAUGGGAAGACAUGGUCUGCUAUCUCUGAUCUACUUCAUGUCAAUACAUGAAGACAAGAUCCAUUAUCUUCGAUCUACUUCACCACCCGUAUGGGAAGACAAGAUCUGUCAUCUUUGAUCUACUUCAUCUUAAUACAUGAAGACAAGAUCCACUAUCUCUGAUCUACUUCAUGUCAAUACAUGAAGACAAGAUCCAUUAUCUUCGAUCUACUUCAUGUCAAUACAUGUAGACAAGAUCCGCUAUCUUCGAUCUACUUUAUAUCAAUACGUGAAGACAAGAUCUGCUAUCUUGGAUCUACUUCAUGUCAAUACAUGAAGACAAGAUCCAUUAUCUCUGAUCUACUUUAUGUCAAUACAUGAAGACAAGAUCCGCUAUCUUCGAUCUACUCCAUGUCAAUACAUGAAGACAAGAUUCAUUAUCUCUGAUCUACUUCAUGUCAAUACAUGAAGAUAAGAUCCAUUAUCUUUGAUCUACUUCACCACCAGUAUGGGAAGAUAAGAUCCGCUAUCUUCGAUCUACUUCAUGUCAAUACAUGAAGACAAGAUGCAUUAUCUCUGAUCUACUUCAUGUCAAUGCAUGAAGACAAGAUCCAUCAUCUUCGAUCUACUUCACCACCGGUAUGGGAAGACAAGAUCUGCUAUCUUCGAUCUACUUCAUGUCAAUACAUGAAGACAAGAUCCGCUGCUUUUCAACUGCCCCACUGUUAUUCGGGGCAAUAAAGCUUUGUGAUCUCACCGAUCUAUUCUCUGUGGAACAUAACCUGUAUAAUUCAUCUUAUGAACCUAAUUAUGCCUAAUAGGAUGUCAUGAACAGAAUGAAUCAAAUGCUCCUAACUAGACAUGUAUAAAUGACAUUUGGAUGAAUGUAGAAUGUCAUUUUUUGAUAAUGAUCGCUCCUUAUCACUUAGGUUAUCACUACUCAAAGUUUAUUAAAGUUUUAUCGUAAAUGUGCUAUAGUGCCUUUUUACUCGGCUGGCGUCUCCAAAGAAACACUUGACCAGAUUGCCCCCCACUGUAAACCUCCCAGUUUGAUCUACUGGGAUGCAAAAAUUUGUACCAUCUUCCUCCUGUUGUAACCCAAGAGUAAAAAUUUUUGGCCUUUUCUCAAUCCUCUGUUAUCACAAUUCAAGGAUAUAGGAUGUGAAACUCUUUGGUCUCUUACACCAUUCCCAGGGUGUCAUACCAAAUGCUCAUGCACAAAUGAAGAAUUUUCUUCUCCAAGAACAACUUCUUAUUAUUAUUCUGUGAUUAUUGCUUGCUUGUUCAUUAAAGCUUUGUCACCAACACGACAUCUUGUCAUUUUGUUUUAGACAACAAAAUUCAAAUGGAUAGUCUUAAUUUAGACUCUUCCUUAUUAGAUUUCCAAUCUUUAAUCCUGGUGCGUUCUAAACAAUAGUCCUGUUUCAGGUUCCUGUAUUAUUUAGAAACUUCUAGAGCAAUAUGCAAAACUUCAUUUGUGAAAGUUUUAUUAGCCCAUUAAUCAUUAUUCUAAUACAACAUGCUUGCAAAAAGAAAAAAAAUGAUGGAUAAAAUAGAAUUGGUUCUUAUAGCUCAAAAUGAAUAAAUUGUCAAAGAUAAUAAAGAUGAAUAACAAAGAAAUUGAUUUAGGAAUGCAUGUCUUGGAAACGAAUGAAGUGUUCCAAGAAUAACAAAAAUGGUAUAAGGAUUAGGUGCCUCAAAUAUCAUAGCUUGAACUUCUCUGUACAAACUUUUCGAUGACCAUUCUGAGUUUAACAUGUGUUUAGGAGAUCUAUAGUACUUUGUCGAUGCCCCAAGAUGUCGCUUACCCUUUCCUAUUAAUUCAGGUAUAGCAAGACCACUGCAUGCCCCAUUCUGAUCAGUAUUUGAGCUGCUCCGAUAAUCUCAUGCCUCAUUUUAAUCAAUAUUUGAGCCAUCCUUCUCGGGUUUUCAACUCAAAUCCCCUUUGGUCUAAGGCGCCCUUUGAGGGUUUUCACCUUAGCCUCUCUAUUUUACUUUUUCCUUUUUCAUUUUUCCUUUUCACUUUUUCAUUUUUUUCAUUUCAUCAUUUUUUUAAUGACUCAAAGUGCCAUUUGCGGGUUUUUACCUUGGUCAUCUCCUUCUUUAAGCAGAGUAUUUCCUGACUGAAUUUGAGUUUACAGGAAUUAUCAUCCAUCUCGCUCACAAUCAAAGCUCCUUUGGAAAAAAAACCUUCUCUAUAACAUAAGGUUCUUCCCAAUAUGGCAUUCGUUCCCCUCCAAAAUAUUUUUUAUAGAGGGAAGAUCUUCAACAUUUGGUCACCCUCAUGGAAUUCUCUAAGAUGAACAUUUUUAUAGGUUCGCAUCAUUCAUUCUGGUACAUCUGACCGUAAUGAAUAGCUUUUAGCCUUUUUUCUUCUAUCAAGUUCAAUUAAUCACAUCGCGAUUGGAUCUGUUAUGUUUCAUCCAACUUGCUUAGCCAAUACCCAGAGAGAAAGAAUUUCGACUUCAAUAGAAAAAGAAAUCGUGAUAAACUAAAAAGAGAGGCAUUGCUCUGGUAGAGUUUUGACUACAUCAUUCAUGAUAUUAAUCUGGAACAUACUGUAAAUUUUUGAUAUCGUGCUGUUGUUCAGAUUCCAAUGACAGUGCUUAACCCGGGCAUACCCUGGUAUGACCAUGCGAAGACAUCUUUGAAUUCUUGAAGUAACUCAAUAAUAUAUUGCUUUGUUUCUUCGGUCAUGCAUAUUCCCUCAAGGUCACAAUCUCCAUUGUCUCCUCAUGAGGUAAAUUUGUUUCUCUUAUUACUUUACCAUCAUCAACAAGUUAGGAGAUAAGUUACAAUCUAUGACAUCUUCAAAGUCAUGAGAUCCCUCUAAACACAUGUCUCACUCAAAAGGAGAUUCUAAAUCUGUAGAAGCGUCACUCAUGUCAUUGAUAUCCAGGAACCUAUUGUAGGUGCUAAAGAAUAUACAAAGAAUGUAUGAAUUUAUAAAUAAUAUGAUUAUGAAUGAAAGAAUGGUUUGACAGAAAAAAUCCAAAAGAAUGAAAGAAUCGUAAAAUGAAAGAACGUUUGCUCAAAGAUGAUUGCAAUAAUAUGUUUCAUUAAAACAAUAAUGUUCAGACAUGAGCCUAUUUCAUAAAGAAGUUCUUAUUGCUUCUAGGCUAAAAGCAACAAGUGUGUUCUGAACAUUAUUCUAACAAACUCUAAAUACUAUAGGGGUUUCUUCUGCAGUCCAAUUAUUUAGAACACCUCAAAGGCGAAAAUCUAACAAGGACCCUUUUCAUUGUGUCUGCACAUAUGGCAUCGAUGUGAAAAUUUCUCACCACUUCUUCAUACAUUGCAUUUACUACAUUAUCAAUCAUGAUUGGGUAGUAGACUUUCUGCACUAGAUGAGUCACCAAACUUGACAACACCUAUGUUGAUGAGUCUUUCCACUAGUUUCUUGAAGGCAAUGCAAUGCUCUAUUGAGUGUCCCGUAAUUCCUGCAUGGUAGUCACAUUGUGCAUUCGCAUCAUACCAUUCGGGAUGCGGAGGUUGUAGAGGCUUCACAUGAAAAGGAGAAACUACAUGUGCAUCAAACAAAUUUUGAUACAAUUCCCUAUACAAUAUUGGGAUUGGUGUAAACUGGAACUUCUCAGUCUUUAUGUCGGAAUCUUGCCUCGAUGAAUUCUGUUGAUUACCAACCACCUUUCUUGGCUGACUCACAGUAAUUGAUUUAGAGUAACCCGUGUUGUUCAUCUCAUUUUUUCUUUUCUUUGAGACUAACCUCUUGUUACUCUCCUCUACAUCAAUUUUUCCGUUCCUUAUAGCAUUUUCGAUCAUUUCACCAUUCAUAACUAUGUCAGAAAAGCUCUUUGUAGCACUUCCUAACAUAUGUGUAAUGAAUAGGGCUUUCAGCAUAUUGAUAAAGAGUAUUGUUGUUUCUCUUUCCAAUAGCGGCGGCUGAACUUGAACGGCAACUUCCAUCCACCUUUGUACAUAUUGCCUAAAGCUCUCGUUCGGUUUUUUUUCCAUAUUUUGAAGGGUGAUUCUGUCAGGUACCAUGUAUGUUAGAUGACUGUACUAUUUCAUGAACGCUUGUACUAAAUCCCUCCAUGAACCGAUCAUGGUACGGCUCAAUUGAUUGUAUCAUUUAGAUGCUACCCCUGUGAGGCUAUCUUGGAAACAAUGUAUCAAUAGCUGGUCAUUGUUAACAUAUCCAGCCAUUCGCCUGCAGAACAUGGUGAUAUGUGCUUCUGGGCAACUUGUCCCAUUGUACUUUUCGAAUUCCGGCAUCUUAAACUUAUGAGGGAGUACCAAAUCCGGGACUAAACUUAGCUCUUUAGCGUUAAUCCCAUGAUAGCUUUCAGUGACCUCUAUCGUCUUGAACUUCUCCUCAAGCCACUUGCACCUUUCUUCUAACUGUUUCGGUAACUCUUCCUUUAUUCUUUCCUUCUCAGCCACUUCAUCAAAGUCAGGAAUGGCAGAGUUAACAAGGUUGUUUCCGGGGUUAGAGCCCAAUCUAGCCUGGAAGUUUGAAGCACCGACCUGGAACUACUGAGGCCUGAUUGUGACAGUAGAUUUGUGCGGAUAUUCAGCUUGAGUUCACACAUGUGGAAGAGUAAAGCCUUGAGGAUAGAGUGAUUCAUCCUCGAUACCCUCUUUGAUAUCAGCCAUGGGACCCUUUCCCUUAUCACCCCCUCCAGUCAACAGUUGGGUCAACUUUGCCAUCAUAUUGUUUUGGGAUUCCUGCAUCUUCUCUGACAUAUCCUGUUGCAUCUUGUCUAACUGCUCUUGCACAUGUAACUGGAGUUGGUCUUGCAUUUCUUUCUGGUGCUGUUCGAGCUUUUCCAAUCUCUGAUCCAUGUCUUUAAUCUUUGCUCGAGUGCCGUAAUGGUGUUUGGUUGGUUGGUUGGUUUCCAGGUUAACUGAACAGUGAUUUUACUUAAUUAGGAUCAUUUAACGGUGUCUAAUACAUAUGAUGUAAUGGAAUGCAAAUGCAUGAAAUGAAUGCAAAAAAAAAGACGUUGAUUCUGGUUCAAUUCUUUACUAGAAAACUUCUCUAGACAGCAAAUCUCUUUACACAAAGCGGAUAUAUAUACGGCUUCACCCUCGUACUCCAAGCAAUGACAUCGACCAUUCAGGUAUUAAGAUGCAUCUCUUUUCUAUAAUGAAAUGUCAUGCAGUCAAAAAUGUCAUGCAGCCAAAACAAAACACACAAGUUAGUAUCAUGCAUAAAAUCAUAAUUCAACGUACACAAGAAAUAAUAAAAGAACCUAUUCAGGACUCCUCUAGGGUUUGGUAUAGCUCUACCUAGGGCAAGUUCCUAAGGUUUACUAUAUGAGGGUUAGUUUCUAGAGCAAGGGUACCUGAACCAGCAGAUUCCUCGAUCCUUACCCAUUAUAGGCUCAUAUGGAUCGAGUUCAGUUCAGGGGAAUACAUUUCCCUAUGGCUGCACGGAGAUGAAAAUCUCACGAAGACAUAGGUACGGAUGUAUCCCGGAAGCAGUCCACUACCCUGCACGGAGGUGAAAACCUCACGAAGGACUAGUUUUUCGCUCCAACUUAGAGGGGUAAAACUGACCAUGCAAUGCAAAAUGCAAAUACAGAUCAACCGACUUGGUCCAAUCAUGCAAACAUAUCAUGAUGAAAAUGAAUGCACAGGGAAUCAUGAUUUGAAAACAAAGAUUGGAUUUUUCAAUCACAAGACAAAAAUUAAUCAAUUUUAUGGCUCGACUCUCUAACAGCCCCCAGCGGAGUCGCCAAGCUGUUGAAACCGUUUUUUGAAAACAAAAAUUUAGUUGUCGACUUUUAAAAAACGAAAAUUGGAGUCGCCACCGAUCUUUGAUUGAGGUGUGAUCGGCUCACCUUAAAAACAAUUCUGGUCUACGAAAUUUGAGAAAAUAGGUUCAAGAGUCAGUUACGCACAAGAAAUGGUUAGCACCCUCGUAACGCCCAAAAAUCGGUAUCGAAUUCGAUUGUUUAAUGUCUUGGUGUCGAAAAUUUGAAAAGAUUUUAAAAGAAAACUUUUAACUCGUGAAUGAAUCAAAAUAAAACAUUCUUAUUUCAAAGAAAUAAAACAUCACACCCAGUGAGUUAGGGCACAAUAUAUUUAAAUCUUCAAAAUACAAAAUAUUGCCUUUUGUUUUUGAAAUCCUUAUUUUGAGAUAAUAAAAAGUCAUGACCAGUAAGUUAGGACCCAACAUUUUUGAAUUCCCGAGAAUAAGCUUUUAUUUGAAAUUUAUGGAUUUAUUGCAAAAUAAAUACUUGGCUUUCUAAAUCCAUCAAAAAAUAAUCGCAAUCCAGUAAGUUAGGACACGAUCUUUCUUGAGAAUCAUGAAUACCAAAUAUUUUGAAAAUUUGUAAAAUAUGACGAUUUUAAUGCUUUGACGCAACCAGAAUAUAUAUUUUCUAAAAGGCAUGUUAAAAAGUUAAUGUAUAACAUAAAACAAAUACUUCGAUUUAAAAUAUAUAUGUAAAUAUAUUUACAAAGUAUGAAUAUAUAUAGACAUGAUAUAUAGGUGAAUUUUGCAAAUAUAGGUAUGGCUAUGAAAUACCAAAGAUGCAUACAUAUUUGAAAACGUUUAUGCAUAUAUAUGUACACAAAAGUCAUGAAAAUAACAAUAAUAAAAUACAUAUGAAAUAUAUUUAUGCAUUUACAAAAAAAUGUAUAAUAUAGCAUAUUGGUAAAUAUAAUAAUGUGGAAAAUACAUUUAUAGUAAGUUUUAAAUAGAUUUGGAUAUAUAUAUGUACAUAUUAUAUAAAAAAAUGUAUAAACAUGUAUAAAUUAUAAAAUAUGGAAAACGUGUAACUAUUAUAAAAUAUAAAUGUAUAUAUGUAUGAAAAAAACUAUGAAAAUAAAAUAAAAAAAAAACUAUGUACAUAAUAUGUAUAUGUAUUUAAAACGUUUAAAAUGUAUACCUAUAUAUUUACAUACAUAUGUGCAUAUAUAGAUAUAAUGAUAGUAACAUAUAAUAUAAUAAAUAAAAAUAUAAACUAAUAAUGAUACAGUAAUAAUAAUAUAAAUAAAUAGUAUUAGUAAUAAAAAAUUAGAAUAAUAAAUUAAGGAUUAAGUUGAAAAUAAAAAGAAUUUAAGGGCUGAAUUCAAAAAAAAAACGAGAAAGGGAGCAGAUUAAAACACGCGUAACAGGAGGAGGACCGAAAGAGCAAUUUACCCAAACCACCCAAAACAUUGCACAGCAGUGGAUUAAAAUAAAACAAAUUCAAUAUUUCAUAGGAAAAAUUGGAAACAGAAAACAAUGAUUUUGAAACGAUGAGAUAAAAAUGGAAGGAUUAAAAACGUAAAUAACCCAUCAAUGCUUUAAAACCCUUUUCAAUCCUUAAUUAAAACCCAAUUCCAUUUGCAGCAUAGUAGCCGCAAGAAUUAUUUCAUCCUCUCCCCUGCUCUUCACGCCAAAAUCCCCCUUUCAACUUCGAUUUGGAUGAAGCGAAACAAAGAUGUCGACGGCGCGCCAUCGUUGGUAAGAAUUUCCUCCUUCUCUUUUCUUUUAUUUAUUAUUUUUUUAAAAAAACCAGUAGAAAAAUGAAACAAAAAGCAGUAAAAAAAACCGAAUAAAUAGAUCACCUUCGACAAUUGUUUUCUUUUUCUUUCGUAUUUUCGAAUUCUCUCAAUACAAUCGGUCCCUAUUUUACAAAAUAAAACGGCUUUAUAUAGCCCGAAAAAGAAAAAAAAUCAAAUAUAAUUGCUAUUUUUUUGCUGUUUCUUCUCUGUCGGACUCUUUGAGUUCGUGCUUGCAGGUGUUUGUGGAGCGCACGUGGAGGAGUCGGCCCCGAGACGUGCGGCGACUGGAGGCUUUGCUGGAAGCGGGGAGGCUGAUGCUAGGGUUUCCUAACCCUUCCUUUUCCAUUAAUUUCGAGCCUGGGUUAGGAAUUAGCUACCGGGCCCGUUAUUGGAUUUGUAACAAAAUUGGACUGAAACAUUAGCCUUUGUUUCUGUUUGGUUUUUAUUUAUUUAACGGGACGGGCAGAAAUUGGGCCCUACAAGAUAAAAAGGUUAAUUUUGUGGCAUAUGAUCUAGCUAGAGAAACUAGAGCAAGAAACAAUUAAAUGGUGUAGAGAGAUCCUAAGAAACAGUCCAACAGCAAUUAGAGUGUUAAAAGCAGCUCUUAAUGCUGUUGAUGAUGGCCAUGCUGGACUUCAGGUACCAAAUCGAAUCAUAAGCAACCCAUUUUUUAAAAAAAAAUUUUAUUCAAUCUGAAAAUUCACUUGUUUCAUUUCCUCUACAUAUUUUCAAGAAGUUGGUGGAAAUGCGACACUCAUAUUUUAUAUAACUGAAGAAGGGAACGAGGGGAAAACAACAUAUGUGGAGCGUAGACGCCCAGAUUUCUCAAAAUUUUCAAGGCGACCGUAAGGUUGAGGAUUGGGUGGAUUCAAAUGGUUUCGACUUUGCAGUGUACCACAUUACUUUUAUUCAUUUCCAAAGGAUGCUUGCUUUUUUAUUUAAUACACCCUGUUUUGUUACAUGUAAAACAAUCUCAUCAGUUGGUUUCUAAUUAAUCAAUUUGCUUCUGAAAAAGCUCUCGGUUUGUAUUUUGUUCCACAUUGAUGUAAAUUUUAUUGUAUUAAAUAUAAAAUUUAUUAUAUUCAGGAUUUCCAAA